rnacentral:sRNA from 1 species
GCUGGACAUGGUGGCACAUGCCUGUAAUCCCAGUGGCUAGGAAGGCUGAGGCAGGAGGAUCACGUGUUCAAAGCCAGCCUCAGCAACUAGUGAGUCCCUGAGCAACUUAGCGAGACCCUGUCUCUA